rnacentral:rRNA from 1 species
CCUACGGGGGGCAGCAGUGAGGAAUAGUGGUCAAUGGACGCAAGUCUGAACCAGCCAUGCAGCGUGCAGGAAGACGGCGCUAUGAGUUGUAAACUGCUUUUGUACGAGGGUAAACGCAGAUACGCGUAUCUGUCUGAAAGUAUAGUACGAAUAAGGAGCGGCUAACUCCGUGCGAGCAUACGCGGUAAUACGGGGGAUUCAAGCGUUAUCCGGAUUUAUUGGGUUUAAAGGGUGCGUAGGCGGUCGGAUAAGUUAGAGGUGAAAUCCCGCGGCUCAACUUCGGAAUUUCCUCUGAUACUGUUCGGCUAGAGAGUAGGUGCGGUAGGCGGAAUGUAUGGUGGAGCGGUGAAAUGCUUAGAGAUCAUACAGAACACCGAUUGCGAAGGCAGCUUACCAAGCUACUUCUGACGUUGAGGCACGAAAGCGUGGGGAGCAAACAGGAUUAGAUACCCUAGUAGUC